CACAGUGACCUAGAAUAGUUUGGAGCUAUGAUGCCCAAGAGGGUAGCCACUGGGGUUAUUUGCAGGUAAAUUAGUGCCAGUCACUUUCUAAGUGGUCAGCAGGUUCAGGGGCUAGUGGCUGCAAUGGUAGCACAGUCGUGGAUUCCUCUAUCACUACAACAACUUGAACCUCUGCUGAGCGCCUGUUUUGAUCACCUGCUUAGACAUGCCAUUAUUUUAUGGCUACUUGCUCAGAAUAAGCACCUGCGUCUGUGUAGUCUGCAAUGACUCCCUCCCUGGCCGGGGUAGAAGCUGCCUCCAGGAGCGAAUCAGCAGUACCUGCGAGCCCUCACCUGCCAGUCAGCUUGUGUGGCUCCUUCCAUGAUUAGCAAGGUCCCGUGAUCCAAUGGUAUCUUCACUCUCUCCACAUAUGUGUAGUCUCCAUUUUCUUCCUAGAAAACAGUAGCCAUCCUACUGAAGUUUUUAUAUGGUCAUGAAGCAAGGAAUCAGUAAGCACAGAAACAUUGACCUCUGACUGCUCAGCCAACCAGAACCCACUGGGAAGUGACCCUGCCGGUGGAGGCCCACACCCACCUCCACACUCACCUCCACUUCAGAAGGCAGAGGUGGUGCUUGAAAAAAGUAUGCCAGAAGAGACGAAUGCCUUGCUAAGGAAAAACAUCAAAGAAAGGCCCAUCCUCCAUGACAUCAGAGGGUUAUAAAGGCUUAACAGAUUGAAAGGCUGGUCAGCUCGAGUUAAAACUUGGCUGUAGGCAGAAGGAUCUCUCCUGCUUUCAGGGAAGACAAAAUGGCGUGGACCUGUAAACUGUACAGACUGGAGGACGAGGCUGAAAUGAUGCUCAGAGGGAAGACUUCUUGAGUACACAAGGGCACUUCUGAGAUCAAGAACACCCAUAACUCCAUGGUGAGGUAGAGGUGGGACUGCAGAGCACUGUGAUUCCAUCUGGAACCAUGAAGAAGAAUGCAGCUGAGAGGCAAAAGGGAGUUCCGCAUACAAGAGACAACUAUCAGCACCAGUGGAAAUGAAGCAUAAAAAUCUCUAUUUUUCAAGGGAGAGAAAAAUUUGGGUGUGUUUUGCACACAUAAUAUCCAGCACAGCCACUAAUCACACCAAAAGGUAGACCCUCAAGGGUGAGCAAUUCAGGUUGUCCCUGAGGAGUGAACAGAGUAGAUGGAUAGAGAAUUGCUCACCCCAGCACAUGAUGUGAGAGGUAAUAUCAUUUUCUCCUGGCUUGUUAUUUAUUUCUCCUAACACCGGUGACUUAGAAAACACAUUCCUAAUUGCAGGAGACGGACAGUUAAAGAAGGCAAGGGAGCCUCCCAACAUGGUAGAGCUCACUGAUGGACCUAUCUGCCUUAAGACAGAGAAGCAACUGGAGGCAGUGACACUCUAACUUUCCACCUAGGAGGCAGAUAAAAGGCCAGGGAAACUCCUGCUGUGCAAAGGUGGUGGUGAUGUGGGGAGCAGGGGCCAUACUGUUAGAGAAGGCUCAGUCAUGGCUGCCAAUGGCCAUAUUUCCAAAGUUCACAUCUGUGACUCUGCUGUACUCAGGCAAGCAAAACACACAUGCAUGCAUGCACACCCACACCCACACACGAACUCCAAUAUUCAUAUGUGAACAAUACAGUGCUUAAGAUAAAAAUGUCUAUCCCUGAUAGACAAAAGAAGCUUCUAAGGUAACAAUCAACCUAUGGGGAGUGAGUUGUGACUGUAGACGUUGAAACCUUAUAAACAGAAAACCA